rnacentral:rRNA from 1 species
UGGGGCUACACACGUCAUACAAUGGAUGGUACAAAGGGUCGCCAACCGCGAGGGGAGCCAAUCCCAUAAAGCCAUUCGUAGUCCGGAUCGCAGUCUGCAACUCGACUGCGUGAAGUCGGAAUCGCUAGUAAUCGUGGAUCAGAAUGUCACGGUGAAUACGUUCCCGGGUCCUU